GGUUGUACGGCGCAAUGGUAGCGCGCUUGCUUUCGUAACGGGAAAUCCUAAGUUUAACUCCCGGUGCAACCA